UUAUGAUAUCCACGAACAAUCAAGAGUCUUGGUAUAUUUUCAACCAGCAGAUCCAUGUAUUCCAUGUAGAAGGUUGCAGGAUGAUUGAGAGGUGGAGGAGGUAAGCUUACAAGCACGACGGAAGCCAUUCUCGAGUAUUUCUGUACCAUUAAGUUCAGCUUUAGAGUGGUGUAAAGGAAUUUCUCUACUUGUUGUUCUUCAACAAACACAGGCUUUCCAUCAGCCAUCAACGGAGUCCGGUCUCUCUGUGCUUGCUCUUUCAUUUCUUCCAAGUAACUGGCAACUCUCCGUCGUGCAGCACUGAAUGCUUCGACAGAUUCUUGCUGCUCCCCUUCGGCUUCCCAUGACUUCAUGGAAAUGA
rnacentral:misc_RNA from 1 species